GGCCCCACAACCAAAAUCAACGGACAACACUACAACAAAAGGUAAAGGCUUGGAUUACCAAAGCUUCAAAGAGUAUAUCAUCAUUUUGGAAGGUCCGUGAAAAGAACUUAGGUUACAAUGCAGGUGAUUCUGAUUCGGAUGAGUCAAAAGGCGAUUUGAAAUAAAGAUCAAUAAGAUAUGUUUUAUUUAAACGGAAGAGUGUAGGUGAGUUAAAUUUCUUUCGGAUCUAUCAUGGUGUUGAAAUUGCUUGACAAAUCAUGAUUACAAAUUUUCAAAUUUUAUAUGUUUUAGUUUAUGCAAACUCAUGGUACAAGGAAGC